GACAGAGGGUGCAAACGUUUGUUCGGAAUUACUGGGCGUAAAGCGCGUGUAGGCGGCUAAGUAAGUCGGGCGUGAAAUCCCACGGCUCAACCGUGGAAGUGCACUCGAAACUGCAUAGCUAGAGUCCUGGAGAGGAAGGUGGAAUGCUUGGUGUAGAGGUGAAAUUCGUAGAUAUCAAGCGGAACACCGGUGGCGAAGGCGGCCUUCUGGACAGUGACUGACGCUGAGGUGCGAAAGCGUGGGGAGCAAACAGGG
rnacentral:rRNA from 1 species